UGGGGAAUAUUGGGCAAUGGGCGCAAGCCUGACCCAGCAACGCCGCGUGAAGGAAGAAGGCUUUCGGGUUGUAAACUUCUUUUAUCAGGGACGAAGCAAGUGACGGUACCUGAUGAAUAAGCCACGGCUAACUACGUGCCAGCAGCCGCGGUAAUACGUAGGUGGCGAGCGUUAUCCGGAUUUACUGGGUGUAAAGGGCGUGUAGGCGGGCUUGCAAGUCAGAUGUGAAAUUCCAGGGCUCAACCCUGGAACUGCAUUUGAAACUGUAGGUCUUGAGUGCUGGAGAGGCGAUCGGAAUUCCGUGUGUAGCGGUGAAAUGCGUAGAUAUGACGGAGGCAACACCGAGUGGCGAAGGCGAUGCUGGACAGUAACUGACGCUGAGGCGCGAAAGCGUGGGGAGCAAACAGGAUUAGAUACC
rnacentral:rRNA from 1 species